UACGGAGGGGGCAAACGUUGUUCGGAUUUAUUGGGUGUAAAGGGUGUGUAGGCGGGCUUGUAAGUCGGAUGUGAAAUACUUUAGCUUAACUAAAGAACUGCAUUCGAAACUGCUUGUCUUGAGUUUGGGAGAGGAGAGUGGAAUUCUCGGUGUAAGGGUGAAAUCUGUAGAUAUCGAGAGGAACACCAGUGGCGAAAGCGACUCUCUGGACCAAAACUGACGCUGAAACACGAAAGCUAGGGGAGCAAACAGG
rnacentral:rRNA from 1 species